rnacentral:rRNA from 1 species
GAUGAACGCUGGCGGCGUGCCUAAUACAUGCAAGUCGAGCGAACGGACGAGAAGCUUGCUUCUCUGAUGUUAGCGGCGGACGGGUGAGUAACACGUGGAUAACCUACCUAUAAGACUGGGAUAACUUCGGGAAACCGGAGCUAAUACCGGAUAAUAUUUUGAACCGCAUGGUUCAAAAGUGAAAGACGGUCUUGCUGUCACUUAUAGAUGGAUCCGCGCUGCAUUAGCUAGUUGGUAAGGUAACGGCUUACCAAGGCAACGAUGCAUAGCCGACCUGAGAGGGUGAUCGGCCACACUGGAACUGAGACACGGUCCAGACUCCUACGGGAGGCAGCAGUAGGGAAUCGUCCGCAAUGGGCGAAAGCCUGGCGGAGCAACGCCGCGUGAGUGAUGAAGGUCUUCGGAUCGUAAAACUCUGUUAUUAGGGAAGAACAUAUGUGUAAGUAACUGUGCACAUCUUGACGGUACCUAAUCAGAAAGCCACGGCUAACUACGUG